rnacentral:lncRNA from 10 species
AACUUUAUCUCAAGCUCCUGCAGUUUCAAUAGAAAUUGGAUUUUAGGAUGCACAAUUUGAUUUAGCCAAACAGCUUUGGACUUCCAUCCUACUUCAUUGUCCCUGAGUGUCAUGACUGUCAUUGUCUGCAUUCUAAUUCUGUUUCUAUUUGAAUCAUUCAUUAAGUACCUAAAAAUUAUGCAUAUAGUAAAUUCACAGGAUACCAUAUGCAAAUAGGAAGCACCCCUCACCCUGGUCCUAAAUAAACAUUGUGGAUUUGUUAAGUAAAUUUGGGAGUUUCAGAUCUUUUUUUUAAUGCAAUGAAUUGUAAUGUCACACUUCCAAUACGACAAGGAUUCUUUUUUUUUUCUUCUUCUUUUAAAUACAAGGGGAAAAAAAAAUUCAUUUUGAGUCAGAAAGUGGGUGUACGUAGGGGAGAAAAAAGGAGGGAGGGAGGAACUGUGUAUAACUUCUCUUCUGCGUUUUGGCACAAAAAAGUUGCUCCCAUCAGCUCAGCUUGGCUAAGAGAGGCCUCCAGAUAAGAAUUCUUGAGAUCUCUGAUUCUUCUCCACAUGAAAAUUUAAAAAACAUUAAAAAAAGAAGAAAUUACAAAUGAUCUGAUCUUGAAUGCCAAAAAUCUAACCUUUGAUGUUGGCUUUUCGGAAGUUAAAUAAUGAACCAAAGUUUCUUUUUUUCCUUUUUUCUUAAAGGACUACUUCAUAAAGCCUAUCUUACUUUAUAAUAAAAGGAGGAAAACAUAAAUAAAAGACACUCAAAUAUUUAUACAGUUAUUCAAAGGAUUAAAUGUAUUUGGUAAGGUCUUAAGGUUGUUUAAUAUUUUCCCCUUCUUUUGAAUCUUUGUUUUUAGCUCUGGUACAUUGAAGAUUUUCUUUUUCCUGUGGUUUUGUUUAUAGAAAUUAACAAAUUCCCUUGUGAUCCUUAAGAAGUUACUUUAGAAAUAUACAAAUAUACAUGAAUGAGAGAAAGGGGAUAUGAAAUAGAUGAGAUAAGGAAAUAUUGUCAUAAUAACUACACUCUUUAUAUUACACUACUUAGUUAACACUACGUAUAAUUGAAUAAAUGACAACAACAGUGAGUAAUAGACUACUUAUUUGACUCAGAGAGAAAAAUCUUGGGGACCUGCACUUUAGAAGAAUAUAAUUUUACUUUUAAUUUUUAUGUUAUAUGAAUACUCUGUGGCAAUGUACAUACUCCACAUGUAUUUUCUGCCUCGUGACUUACACUGGAAGAGAGAGGAAUGAUUAGUUUAUAUGUUAAAAAUGCAGUGAAUUUUUAUUUGUCCUGAGUCCACUUCCUCCACUCCUACACACCAGCUAGGAUUCUCUUGUGAGACAGAACACACUUUAUAGUUUUGGUUUGUUUAAUUAUAUGAAAAUUUAAGUAUUCAGACAAUAGUUUUUAGUAGAUUAAAACAACAACAAUAGCGACAACCCCCACAACACCUGCAUUAACUUGGGGUCCUUCAAAAGCCCAGUGUUUCCAAUAAUGUAAUUUGUUGCUUAAUAAAUAGGAGGUUGGGCCCAAUAUCCUCUGCUAAGAUUGUCAUCACUUACACUUAAGAUGAAUUAAAUUUCUCUUAACAAACAUUAGUGGGUAUUCUAUGUAGUUAAACAUUCUGGUUAAUAGAUAAUUUCUUCAUAUGAUAUACACAGAACAUCAUUUUUAGAUAUAAUAACAUAGCUAUGAUCAAUACAGUUUUAUUCAACAAUUAGGUGUUGUAUAAGGUCCCUGGGGGAAUUGUAUAAAGUGUUCCCAUCUCUCAAAGAACUUCUCACCUAGUGACAUUUUUCUGUGAUUCAGAGAUACCUUGGUGACUUGCUGUGAAUUAGGGUCACAAUUAUGACUAUCAUUUAUCAUUGUACUGUGACUGCACAAGUGCCAGUUAAUAGAAGAUUCAGAAUGAUAGAAUGCAGAAUAAAUCACAUCACCUUUUUCUGGAGUAGUGUCUUGGUGAGCCGAAGCAGAAGCAGAGAAUGGAUACUGAUAUUAUUUCCAUCUGCAAGCCCUCAUGACGUAUGAAGUGCCGAGAGACAUUUAUGGUUUUGUUGCUACCAUUAAGACCUUUGGCAGAGUCCUAAACUUAUUUUGGUCUCUCUCUCUUUUAUUGCAAGCUAUUUCCAGCUGUUUAUUUUUAUCUUGCUUUGAGAUGUUUAAAUAAAAGACAUAAUUUGAAUCU